rnacentral:rRNA from 1 species
GCAUAUCAAUAAGCGGAGGAAAAGAAACUAACCAGGAUUGCCUCAGUAAGGGCGACUGAAGUGGCAAUAGCUCACCAUGUGAAUCUGCGUAAGCCGAAUUGUGGUUUCGCUUGUGUUAGGGGCUGGGCCAAGUCCGUUGGAACACGGCAGCCGAGAGGGUGAGACUCCCGUUCGCCUGGCCUUUGGAGUGAGUGUCGACGAGUCGAGUUGUUUGGGAAU